UGGGGAGUCACAUGUCCACAACGAACUAACCAACCCUGGGAGGUAUCAGAGAGCAAAUGAAAUGUUUACCGAGCACUCCUAUCUCUGCCACGGGUGGCCUUACCGGAACCAGCCCAGGAAACCAACCCAUUGUCUAUAGUAACCAUCCCGGGGAAGCCAGCCAGUUUAUAAGUCAGACUUGUAGGAAGUCAGACCACCAUCUCCGGUAAUGAUCCAGGAAGCCAAACACUUUCCGUAAACGAUCAGCCUGAAAUGUCUAGGACUGGAUCAAUAACUGCCAACUUCCCAGAUUAUCAUCCUUGUCUCCAACUUAGGACCAACUGGAGAAAGCCAAAUACACACCCCCAACCAGUCAAAUGCAAUAUCCUGCUUCUUCAUGCCAACUGCCUCCAAUCAGAGCAUACCUGAAGCCUCCCUGCUAAGCUUUCCUACUCUCUUGUCUGCUUUAAGUCUUUUCCAAAAUGCAAGUGAUGGCGUGGGUGGUUCGGUGGUAGAAUUUUCACCUGCCAAAAUGCAAGUAAUGUGGGCUGACUCCUUUGCUCCAACAAGUUCUGAACAAUAACCUUUGCUUGCUUGCUUGCUUGCUUGGUCUUCACCUAGUUCCAUAGUCCAGCAGUCCAGUAGUCCUUCUACAGGGGAACCACUGCAAAGUCGUGUGUCAAAUAUGGUGCAAGUACACACCUCCAACAGGGAAGCAGUAAUUUGAUCCAAUCGACAGCAAAUGCGGCACUGCGGAGGAGGAAAGGGCAUUGCUGAUCCGUUCUCAGAAAGGCUGGCAUCCAGUCACAGACCAGAUGUGGAAGGUGGCAAGCAGGAAUGGGACUCGGUUCCCACAGUGAUGGGCCCUGAGCUGAUGUAAUCACAGACCUUGAAGAUCUUUGGAGCUUUCAGGCAGAGAAAAAGUCACAAUUUCAGGAGCUAUUUGCAGGCUCCAUCUCAGGACCUGAUCAGAAUGCUGGGACACAAAUCCUCUCUGUUGCACCGGAACUGAACAGGAGCCCCAGAAUCACAAUGCCUAUAACGGCCAUCUUUAAACCAUGAGGGGAACCAGACUUGGGAAGAAAAUGAUACCUUAGGAACCAGAGUAGGGAUCUAGAAAGAAACCGAGACCUCGGUGCGACCAUCAAGCUGCUGGAUCCACCAAUCAAGGAGGCUUUGUUGUCUCUGGAUGUCAGCUCUGACUUCCGAGAUUUCCAUUAGCAAUAGCCUUUAUCGACACAAAACGAGACCAACAAACAUGUGCACCUGAACACAUCAGCAAUCGCCAAGACAUGUUACUGUGGCCUGGCCAAGAGAAGUCCCCGUGCACACCACCACCAAUCCCCAACAUGGAAACAGGGCCCGGGAAAGGACUUGAGAUGGGGAAACUAAAGGGACCCCACGAAAAACUUCUUUUCCUGCUCCUCUUUUUCCCAGGACCUACACCGGUGCCUUACAGAGCCUUACAGAACAGAUGAUGUAAGUCCUCCUUGUCAAGGUCAAGGAGUUAAUGAUUUCUUUUCAGUCUUCCAGCAUAACAGAUAACAUCGAAGGAGUGACUGGGUGGGGUCAUCAUGAACAUUUUCCAAGACGAGUGGCUGACUCAUCAAGACCCCUGGCUCCAGGGUAUAAGUGAAUUAUGGAAAACACCUCAACAGUUUGUUCCUGGAUGCCUAGGAAGACUCAUGUACCAGACCCCCAUCCUCAAUAACGACCCCAAGUUCCAAGCAAAGACGAGAUUCAUUCUUCUUUCCUUUCUGAGUCUCCCAGACACUGUGUCCAUAUCAAUCAUGCUGCCUCUACUAUGUUUAUGAACUAAUGUACAGAAUACAAAACAUAUUACAAGGUGGUGGGAAAUAAACCAUUACUCCAAAU